rnacentral:rRNA from 1 species
CCUACGGGGUGCUGCAGUGGGGAAUAUUGGGCAAUGGGCGCAAGCCUGACCCAGCAAUGCCGCGUGAAGGAAGAAGGCUUUCGGGUUGUAAACUUCUUUGACAGGGGAAGAGCAGAAGACGGUACCCUGAAAACAAGCCACGGCUCACUACGUGCCAGCAGCCGAGGUAAUACGGAGGGGGCAAGCGUUGUCCGGAGUUACUGGGUGUAAAGGGCGUGUAGCCGGGAAAGCAAGUCAGAGGUGAACUCUGGAGGCUCAACCUCCAAAUUGCAUUUGAAACUGUUUGUCUUGAGUACUGGAGAGGCAGACGGAAUUCCUGGUGUAGCGGUGAAAUGCGGAGAUAUAAGGAGGAACACCAGUGGCGAAGGCGGUCUGCUGGACAGCAACUGACGGUGAGGCGCGAAAGCGUGGGGAGCAAACAGGAUUAGAUACCCCGGUAGUC